ACUUACAGUCAUGGUGGCAGGAAGGAAAACUGAAUGCAGGAGGAACUACCAGACACAUAAAACCAUCAGGUCUCAUGAGAACUCAGGCACUAUCACCAGAAUGGCGUAGGGGAAACUGCCCCCAUCAUUCAGUUACCUCCACUUGGUCUCUCCCUUGAUACAUGGGGAUUAUGGGAGUUACAAUUCAAGUGAGAUUUUGGACGGGGACACGGCCAAACCAUAUCACUGUCUUUCUUGAUCCUCCUCUUCCUUGACUGGUUACACUUCUUCACCAUCCUCUGUGAGUCCCAUCAUCACCUGAUCUCUGAACAUUCGGGCCCCACAUGGCCCAGCCCCAGGCUUUGUGCUCUUCCUCUAAACUCAGCCCCAAGGCAAUCUAUACACCAUCUGCAGGGCGAUGAUACUCCGACCCCUAUCUCCAUGGACUUCUCCCCUGAGCUCCAUGUCAUGCAUCCCUGUGUCUGGGAGGCCGUCCACCUGCACAUCAGUGAACCCAUGCUUUGUGCACCGCACAGUGCCUAUUGAAGAGCUGUGACUUGGAAGAUUCCCAGGGUUGGACUCCGAAAUGGAAGCACAGAGCGCCAGGGCAGAGGAGGGCUUUACCCAGGUCACCCGCAAGGGUGGCCGGCGGGCUAAGAAACGACAGGCUGAACAGCUGUCCGCAGCAGGAGAGGGCAGGGAUGCGGGCCUUAUGGACACAGAGGAGGCCAGGCCGACGAAGAUGCCCGUCUUCCCACCCCUCUGUGGUGACAUGCUCCUGAGUGGGAAAGAAGAAACAAGGAAGAUUCCAGUCCCGGCUAACAGAUGCACACCAUCAAAAGAAACUGGAUGAAGAUAUUUACUCCUAUUGUGGAACAUUUGGGUCUUCAGAUAAGCUUUAACUCGAAAUCAAGGAAUGUAGAAAUCGGGACUUGUAAAGAAACCAAUGAUGGUAGUGCUCUGGCAAAAGCAGCUGAUUUUGUGAAAGCCUUUAUUUUCAGCUUUCAGGUGGAGGGUGCACUUGCCCUCAUCAGGUUGGAUGACUUCUUCCUAGAGUGUUUUGAAAUCACAGAUGUUAAACCCUUAAAGGGAGACCAUCUCUCCAAGGCAAUAGGAAGAAUCGCUGGCAAAGGAGGAAAAACCAAAUUCACCAUAGAAAAUGUGACACAGAAAAAAAAAAAAAAAAAAAAAAAAAAAGAAAAUGUGACACAGACGUGGACAGUUUUGGCUGAUGUGAGAGUUCACAUCCUUGGCUCCUUCCAAAACAUCAAGAUGGCAAGAACUGCCAUUUGUAACCUAAUCUUGGGAAAUCGUCCUUCCAAGGUUUAUGGCAAUACUCGAGCUGUGGCUAGCAGAUCAGCAGAUCAACUCUGAUUUCAAGUCAGAGACUUUUUAUCUUGCCCUUGGACUCUGGAAAAAAAAUAUUUUACGAGCGGUCACAAUAAAUCAUCUGAAGAAUUGCAGUCAUUUGAAGCUUCCAUCCCUUCUUCCGUUCUCAGCCAGAAGCACAAACAGAAAAGAAAGGUUUAAGAGUAUUCACACUCAGCAGGUUUUAGGAUAAUUUAAAUAUCAAAAAUUGAUUCUAUUAUUAUACCUACACAUUAGAUAUAAUUUAUCAUUUCUUUGAAAUCACAUGUAGCAGAUUGCAUAGUUUAUAAUCCUCUCAGAGGGAAACUUCUUAUUUAAACAGCUCUAUGUGAAUUUAUACUUUUAUAUUUAGAAAUUCAUAACUUCAUAAAAAUUUAUAAACAUUUCUUUAUAAA